UGGGGAAUAUUGCACAAUGGGCGAAAGCCUGAUGCAGCAACGCCGCGUGAGCGAUGAAGGCCUUCGGGUCGUAAAGCUCUGUCCUUAAGGAAGAUAAUGACGGUACUUGAGGAGGAAGCAUCGGCUAACUCCGUGCCAGCAGCCGCGGUAAUACGGGGGUUGCAAGCGUUAUCCGGAUUUAUUGGGUUUAAAGGGUGCGUAGGCGGUCUGUUAAGUCAGCGGUGAAAUUUAGGGGCUCAACCUCUACCGUGCCGUUGAUACUGGCAGUCUGGAAUGCGGAUGCCGUGGGAGGAAUGUGUGGUGUAGCGGUGAAAUGCAUAGAUAUCACACAGAACACCGAUUGCGAAGGCAUCUCACGAAUCCGCAAUUGACGCUGAGGCACGAAAGCGUGGGGAUCAAACAGG
rnacentral:rRNA from 1 species